CUGCGGAAGGAUCAUUAAGAAUUAUAAUUAAUUGUGAAAAUUAUACAGCAAACAAUAAUUUUAUAGUCAAAACAAAAAAAAAAUUAAAACUUUUAACAAUGGAUCUCUUGGUUCUCGUAUCGAUGAAGAACGCAGCGAAACGCGAUAUUUCUUGUGAAUUGCAGAAGUGAAUCAUCAGUUUUUGAACGCACAUUGCACUUUGGGGUAUCCCCCAAAGUAUACUUGUUUGAGCGUUGUUUCUCUCUUGGAAUUGCAUUGCUUUUCUAAAAUAUUGAAUCAAAUUCGUUUGAAAAACAACACUAUUCAACCUCAGAUCAAGUAGGAUUACCCGCUGAACUUAA
rnacentral:misc_RNA from 1 species